UACGUAGGCAGCGAGCGUUGUUCGGAAUUACUGGGCGUAAAGAGUGUGUAGGCGGUGCUCCCAGUCUGUUGUGAAAUCUCCCGGCUUAACUGGGAGGGUGCAGCGGAAACUAGAGUGCUAGAGGGUGGGAGGGGUAAGCGGAAUUCCUGGUGUAGCGGUGAAAUGCGUAGAUAUCAGGAGGAACACCUGUGGUGUAGACAGCUUACUGGACCACUUCUGACGCUGAGACACGAAAGCGUGGGUAGCAAACAGG
rnacentral:rRNA from 1 species